rnacentral:piRNA from 1 species
UGCAAUUAUUUCCAGGAGCAAACCAAGGAC